rnacentral:rRNA from 1 species
GAUGAACGCUGACAGAAUGCUUAACACAUGCAAGUCUACUUGAAUUUGGGUUUUUUAACUUAGAUUUGGGUGGCGGACGGGUGAGUAACGCGUAAAGAACUUGCCUCACAGCUAGGGACAACAUUUGGAAACGAAUGCUAAUACCUGAUAUUAUGAUUAUAAGGCAUCUUAGAAUUAUGAAAGCUAUAUGCGCUGUGAGAGAGCUUUGCGUCCCAUUAGCUAGUUGGAGAGGUAACGGCUCACCAAGGCGAUGAUGGGUAGCCGGCCUGGGAGGGUGAACGGCCACAAGGGCACUGGGGAACGACCCGUACUCCUACGUGGGGAAGCAGUGGAGAAUAGUGGACAAUGGACCAAGAGUCUGAUCCAGGAAUUCGGUGUGCACGAUGACGUUUUUCGGAAUGAAAAGUGCUUUCAGUUGGGAAGAAAAAAAUGACGGUACCAACAGAAGAAGUGACGGCUAAAUACGUG